AGCGGACAGAUGGGAGCUUGCUCCCUGAUGUUAGCGGCGGACGGGUGAGUAACACGUGGGUAACCUGCCUGUAAGACUGGGAUAACUCCGGGAAACCGGGGCUAAUACCGGAUGGUUGUUUGAACCGCAUGGUUCAAACAUAAAAGGUGGCUUCGGCUACCACUUACAGAUGGACCCGCGGCGCAUUAGCUAGUUGGUGAGGUAACGGCUCACCAAGGCAACGAUGCGUAGCCGACCUGAGAGGGUGAUCGGCCACACUGGGACUGAGACACGGCCCAGACUCCUACGGGAGGCAGCAGUAGGGAAUCUUCCGCAAUGGACGAAAGUCUGACGGAGCAACGCCGCGUGAGUGAUGAAGGUUUUCGGAUCGUAAAGCUCUGUUGUUAGGGAAGAACAAGUACCGUUCGAAUAGGGCGGUACCUUGACGGUACCUAACCAGAAAGCCACGGCUAACUACGUGCCAGCAGCCGCGGUAAUACGUAGGUGGCAA
rnacentral:rRNA from 2 species